rnacentral:rRNA from 1 species
GAUGAACGCUGGCGGCGUGCCUAAUACAUGCAAGUCGAGCGAAGCGGGGACGGGUGAGUAACACGUGGAUAACCUCCUAUAAGACUGGGAUACCUUCGGGAAACCGGAGCUAACCCGGAUCCUUAUAGAUGGAUCCGCGCGGGAUUAGCUAGUUGGUAAGGUAACGGCUCACCAAGGCAACGAUGCAUAGCCGACCUGAGAGGAUGACCAGCCACACUGGAACUGAGACACGGUCCAGACGCCGACGGGAGGCAGCAGUAGGGAAUCUUCCGCAAGGGGCGAAAGCCUGACGGAGCAACGCCGCGUGAGUGAUGAAGGUCUUCGGAUCGUAAAACACUGUUAUUAGGGAAGCGGUACCUAAUCAGAAAGCCACGGCUAACUACGUGCCAGCAGCCGCGGUAAUUC